GUAACCAGUCUUGUAUGUCUUAUAAAGAGAAGAAAAAAGAAAGGUUUAUUUCCCUUUUUCUGUUUUGAGGAAUCCGCCUCAAGCUAGAGUAUCAAGGUAGAAAAAUGAUCAUGAGGCUCCAACUCUUAAAAUACUACCUCUAAAAAAUGUUAAUAAAUAAUAUAAAUAUUUUAAAUAUUAUCAUUUCAGCAUUUUAAGUAUGCCAACAAGUGAUUUCGGUGAAUACUUCGUCCUCUGAGAAAACUAAGGAAAAGAACAUAUUGUCGCCUUGAAUGUAUUUGAAUAUCACAAUCAUAUUGUUUCCCUCCCAGUGUGCUUAUGAAGUGGAAUAUUUUUAGUGGGAGGAUAUGGCUACAGCCAUUUAUUACUUGAUAUGAUGUUUUAUUCAUCCAACUGACACUAAGAUUUUUAUACUUCUCCAAAUAGUUUACCGAUCCAAGCACUUCUUUGGCCAUCAGAGCCCCUUUGCGAUCUCGUAAGAGAGACACGUUAUGACAUUUGUAGAUACAGCAAUUCGUUAGGUUUAACACAACUAUUAGUUCUUUAAUUAAAUAUUGACUUGAACCUCCAGGUUCUCCUUCAGGUGGAAGCGUGAGCUUUUAUCAGCAAAUGGUUGUGCCGAUUCACUGAGUUUACCCAACCGACAUUUGUCGAGUGUUUCCGGUGUGCAAGGCGACACUAGACGCUGUGUGCAUCCAUGGAGGUGUGGUGGGAGAGGGAUAUAAAGAUGAAAAGCAUCCAAGUUGUAUUUCUUUUUAUUAUUAUUAUUACAAAGAGAAGAAUUAGAAAGCCAUCGGAAAAGGCUGAUGAGUUCUCUCUGAAUAGGCAAACAGGCAGCAGCUGUGGGAGGAGGCGACAGAAUGGUGGCAUUUUUCAAAAUGGGCAUUUGGUAUUACAGAUUGAUGCACGAAAAAUAAAAACAAGGAUAAACUAUUGAGUCAACAAAUUAUUAUUAUAGCGAUUUUUAUGGGGUGAUCUUGCCCUGCUUUUGGAUGAAGCCACAAAUUUCAGUCACUCAUUAGCAUUCCUUCUUUGAAAUGACUUUAAUAUGGUUGUAUAUUAAUUCGAUUGCUACGAGUUUCCUGAAAUAGAAGAUUGACUUGACCUGUGGCUGGUGCUAGGGAGAUCGCAUCCUGUGUCACAUCAGCAAAUUAGCACGGAGUUUAACCCUUACAUAGUAAAGCCUAGCACGGGCAAAACAACAUCAUGGCUAUUUUUCUAACUUCCAGCACUUCAUUAACUAUGGCACCACAUAGGGGUUAUAUAACUGUGAGCAUAACUUUGUAAAGUUUAUAAACAUAACAGAGAACAUUCUCACGGGUGUCCUCGGCCAGGCCGCAUGCGUCGCUCCUUGAGGUCACCCAAAGUUCCCUCUCCAGACACAGCUCACCCUUCAGUUGCAAGGGGAGGCAGGCUGCCCACACUGGCUGUCCCAGCGCUAACCCCUCCAGCGAUCCUGCUCAGCAGCUCUGUGCUCCUGCCAGCACGUCGCAGAGGAAGAUGGAUUGCCUCUUAGUAAUGUUUCUCAAGGGAACGGAAAGAACACAGAGUUAGCUAUGGCUCGUCUCCAAACUGCAGACUCCAAACUCCAAACCGCCAACGUGUGCUGCAAAUAAGGGAGUAAAGGAGCCAUUGGUUCAGGGUGAAGCAAGGGGACACCUACGAUUUCUUUCCUUAGAAUUCAUGCCUUCACUUUUUCAUCAGUGUAAUGAAAGGAGCUGUGGAACUGAAGUCAGAAAACCCAGGCUGCAGCUGAGAAACUGCCAGCUAUGAUACCUUGAACAAGUUGCUUAAAUGCUCCAAAUGUUUGUUUCCUUAUUUACAAAGCAAAAGAGUUGAAUGGUAUGAUCCCCAAGUUUACUUCCACCUGCGAAGAUUUAAGCCUUCGAUUGUAAUCAGUUCCAGAAGCACUCUCAGUUAUCAUGUCCUGCGUUGUGAUGAAAUGCGUAUUUCUGUGGACUGAAUAAAGCCUAGCUCUUGCGAAUC